ACAGGGUCCUAUUCAGAGGGGUCCUUGGCCAAGCUGCAGCCCAAGCUUGGUGACAGAGAGGAGGAGGAGAAUGGCCUGGAGUCAACAGCAGAUGUCUCUGUGCUGGCUGGAGGUGACCCACUGGAUGGCUAUGAUGAUGCCAGGGACAUUGCUAACCCUGGGCAGGAGCCUGUGUUUAGACAGGGAGCCAGGGAAAUGCCCAAGGAGCCAGAGGAAGGAUCAGGACCCAGAGAUGAACCUGGAGAUGUCUCAGUCCUGGCUGGAGGUGACCCAGUGGAUGGCUAUGAUGAUGCCAGGGAGAUGUCUGCCCCUGCACAGGAUCCUGUGUUUAGACAGGGAGACAGGGAAAUUCCCAGGGAGCCAGAGGAAGGAGCAGGACCCAGAGAUGUGGCUGGAGGGGCAAACCUGCGCUCACAGAGCAGUGCUGAGGGCACUGGAGCUGGGACAGAUGCGUGGGCCCUGUCCCUGGAGAGCACAGGCUAUGAUGAUGCUGAAGAGCUGCCUGCUGCACAUCCCCCUGAGGACACAUGGGGGCCACAGAACAGCUCCCUGAGAAUCAUAGAAUCAACCAGGUUGGAAGAGACCUCCAAGAUCAUCCAGGCCAACCUAGCACCCAGCCCUAUUCAAUCAACCAGACCAUGGCACUAAGUGCCUCAUCCAGUCUUUUCUUGAACACCUCCAGGGACAGUGCCUCCACCACCUCCCUGGGCAGCCCAUUCCAAUGGGAAAUCACUCUCUCUAUGAAGAACUUCCUCCUAACAUCCAGCC